rnacentral:lncRNA from 1 species
CCACAGGGCUUAAGCAUCGUCACUAUGUAAAAAAGAGGAGGGAGGGGACUGUGCAGGGUCUUUAGGGUAGGGGGAGAUACGUCUGCAGAAGGGGUGGGGUGGGGGGCGUCUGGCCUAGCAGGCCUUGGGUCCAAGGGGUAUAACACUCUGGGAGUCAAUUUCAGAGCUGUUCUAUACCACAGUGAACACCCAACUCAGAUGUCGGAUGGGUCAUGCUGGGCACACCUGAACAUGCAUUUGUUCAGGUGUUAUAGCCAAGUGCAUAAACAUGCAGACUGUUGGGUCAGACAGACCUGGCUCUAACCCCACGAGCACCACCUACAAGCUGCGUGACUGUGGACAAUGCAAUCAACAUCUCUGUGCCUCAGUUAUUGUAUCUAUUAACUGGGCUCAUAAUGUUUGUUGUUGUUAUAGGAGUUAUUAAGAAAUUAUUUUAGGUAGAUAGGAAAAGGGGUGCUUGGGAAGAUUUUUUUUUCUUUUAAAGCAGCUCCAUAAAUGUUUCUUGUCUAGAAGAAAAGCCCUGGCUCUUAGAGCUGGGCAGGCAAGCUUUGAUAUGCAAAUACAGGCCAUUAGAAACUGCGUCCACCCAAACAUGGAGACUCCCGCCUCUUCUUCUUUUCCCCACGUUCCUGGCAACAUGGCCGCCCCUACAUACACCCAUGUGUGUAGAACAUCAUGGCGCCUGUAUUUGCAUAUUAAAAGGCUAGGGUAGGAAGGCUAGUUUUUUCGUGGGCUACUUGAAUGACAUACCUGGUCAAACCAAUCCCCUGGGCCCUAUGCAAAUCAGGUACCGCCUCCUCCAGCCUCCUCAUAUAACUGGCUGUUUUCCACCGUACUCGAGGUUCCCUCUUUCAGCUUGGAGCCCGCCUCCCUCAGUCUCAGAACAGGGGGAGCCUCUUCCUUCCUUCUUUCUUGUCUAUUAAAUUCUCCACUCCUUAAAACCACUCCACGUGUGCCCAUGUUGUUUUAUUCAAACCAGUGGGAGACCAAGGACCCUAGUGUUCCUCCAGUCAUCAGAGCCAUACCAUUUUGUUGCAUUGGCCGGGAAUCCAAGGUACGACACUCAUCGGAGUGACAAGGUCACCAAUGAUGUGCUGGACAGAUGCCCUGCAUCCAUCAUGCCCCACGGCCACACCCAGGCCUGACCAGGGUCCUGGGCCUCUCCUUGUCCCAUCCCUAGGUACUGCAGAGCCAGGACACCAUUUCAGAUGUGAGAGCUGCCCUGCUCACCUGUGGCAAAGGUGGGAUCUUAGCUCCUCACUCCUAGAUAGGAAGGCACAAAGGGCGCAGGAGGGACACGUCGCCCCCGGGGAAAUGGAGAACAAGAAGAUGCUCCGAGGAACCUGGGACAUUGUCAGAAGAAAACGAUGGAAAAGCAACCACACUGAGGCCACUGGGUUUGUGUCUUGUGAGACAGGAGGGGGCCUUUGAGGGAAGAAUGAUCUUCGGCACGGGAAAGGGCCCUCAGGUCCGUGCCAGUCUCAGCUCAUUUCCAUCCACAGGUCCCUUUGCCUGAGGGGGCAAUUUCUGGGGUUCCCUCCUGUGGUAAAAGGUGCCAGAGAAUAAGGGGGACACACAGGUCAGCCUCAGGGGCAGGAUGUGGUUCCCAGGAGCAUGAGAACCCCACCCAGGGCUCUGGGGCUCCUUCCUGUGUCCUCCAGUGGCUGCUGCAGGAGCUCCCAGGACAGGGCUGUGAGGCUGCGGCCUCAGGACCCUCCAGACAGGGCGGCAUCCAUGCAGGCCCCAGGGCAGGGGCAGCCUUGAGUGAGAGGAGCCAAUGAUGGGGGGGUCCAAUUCCCCGUGGGGAAGAGCGAGUUAGACCCAGGCGGGACAGUGGGCACCCUUCAGUAUGGAUCCGGCCCUUGUCAAUACAGGGAGGUAGCAAGGACCCCAGAGUCAGGGGUGGCCUCACAGACCCCACCCAGGAAAGUUUCAGGCCUGAGGCCGUGAGGGAGGGCCCACAGCGGGGGGUCUCCAGCCACAGGGCCAGGGUGCUUUUGUGGGCGCCCACCCUCCCAACACACACAUGCAGGUGCACACACACACAAACCACACCACAACUCCUAUGCAGGCACGCAUACACAAAGACGCACUCACACUCAUCCACACACAGCGGCACACAGUGUCCUG